GCUGGGAGAAACCUGAUUACAGGAACUGCCCAGCUGAUUAGCACAGGUAGGCACCCCCUCAGCUGUCCCAGCUGAGCCAUUUCAUUUGUCCCCGCCUGGGCAUCCCCAGACCCAGUUGGGAGCUGCUGAGUAACUUCAGUUGUCACCUUCCAGAGCAGAACAGUUGCUAGUGAGUCCUGUGUCUCUGACCCCCAGGUUUGGUAGGGACCCUAAAGUGUUUCAGCCCCCAGGGUCCCCCAGACAUCCCUCGGCUCAGAGCUAGUCCUCCAUCAUCCACAGCACCCCAGAGCACCCCACACCCCAUAUUGGGCACGAGACUGACCCAUAGCUCCAGAAAGGCCCGUCCUUGGAAGCCUUGCCUGGCCACACUCAGCCCACAGGGACGCUGGACAUACAGUCAGGGCGGCACGUGCGGCUGUCUGUCUGGGACCCAGGACAGCAAGGCCUGCCCCACCUCGGCCAGACAUGGGGCAUCAGCAUCCUGCCCCCCAUGCUGCUGGACUCCUGGGUUCUGAAGGAAACAUGCAAAAGGGAUGCUGGUGAGGCCAGGAGGUGCAUAACAGCACUGAGGGAGGGGUGCCCCAAGCUUGCUGUGGGGGAUGGACAGUGAGGAUCUGCGGGCACAGAGAGAGGGAUGUGGUGGCAGGGGCCCUGGCACAAGAGGGAAAGA
rnacentral:lncRNA from 1 species